rnacentral:lncRNA from 1 species
CAACACUUGUCCUUCAAGACAUUUAGAAACGCUUGCUGCGAACUAAAUCUGACCUUCAAAUCGUAUUAGUUCCAACUGCAGAAUCUUUAUGAAACCUAUAUAAAAUCAGCAUAUAAGCAACAAGGGAACAUCAAACAUUUGUCUCUGCAGAUAAAUCAAACAAUCAAAAUGAAGCUAUUUCUUGGAGUCCUAUUGUCGUUAGCCUUGGCUUUCGUGAGCACCGAAGCUCGACUUGUUCCCGAAGAUGAACCGACAGGAAAGUAAUACCAAAGGAAUAUAUAGAUACCUGUAGAUUUGAAUGUCAAAUGGUAUAAAUAAUAAUAAAUAAAGAUCCCAGGAUAUAUUUUUU